rnacentral:lncRNA from 1 species
AGGUCAUAUGCCAGUUAAACUGCCCCAUUUUGCCUCUUAGUGUACAUUGUGAGCCCACUCAACCAGUUCCUGAGAUACUAUUGGGAAGCUGCUGAUACCAGUUUCAGGUUUUUUCCAUCUGUUGGGAAACCGCCUAUCCCUGGUGCUCGCUGCAACCAAUUAUUAUUUUAGGGAGACAGUUAACCGCCUGACCAUCACCCGAUGAUCGCCUGAUAUUCUUGCAUCCACGACUAUAUAAACUUUUUGGCCGUUUGAUCAAAUGGGGACAUCUGGCAUACUUCUAUCAACCAAUAUUAAAACUACUGAAGGGUGGUUCCAAGAUGGCCAAAUAGGAACAGCUCCAGUCUACAGCUCCCAGCAUGAGCGACGCAGAAGAUGAAUGAUUUCUGCAUUUCCAACUGAGUUCACAGAUCUUCAGCUCCAGAGAACUGAGUUUAAGGAGCUGUACUUGGGAAAUUGUGCCUGAAGCUGUUCCUGAGGCAUCUGUACCUGGAUUUAAUGUAUAUGCUGAGAU